UACAGAGGUCCCAAGCGUUGUUCGGAUUCACUGGGCGUAAAGGGUGCGUAGGUGGUUGGGUAAGUCUGAUGUGAAAUCUCCGGGCUCAACCCGGAAAUGGCAUCGGAUACUAUUCGGCUAGAGGUUUGGAGGGGGGACUGGAAUUCUCGGUGUAGCAGUGAAAUGCGUAGAUAUCGAGAGGAACACCAGUGGCGAAGGCGAGUCCCUGGACAACACCUGACACUGAGGCACGAAAGCUAGGGGAGCAAACAGG
rnacentral:rRNA from 1 species